AGAACCAAGAAAAGAAAAAUGUCCUGCAUGAAAGAUAUCCAAAAACUGAUCUUCACUGAAAAACAACACUAAAAUCAAGCAGAAGAUUGCUUUUGGCAAAACAUAUUGAGCUGGUAAAACACUAAUUAGUAUAUUUGAGUCUAGGCCUCAGGACAUUUUCUUCAAAUGUUUUCAUUUUUAUUCAUAAUUUAUAAUGUAAUUCUCUUUUAUUUUGAAAUACACACUUGUUUUGGAGGAAAACUCUGGCAAUAUACCAAGGAAGAAGUUAUAUCUAAAUGAUUUAAAUAGUGUUUGCUAAGCAUCUUUGGUAACUGUUUUUCUCCCUUAGAACUAUAAAAUCUAACAAACAUAAUUUAUGGAGAUGUUUAGUCUUGAACAGAGAUGUUAUAGUUUUGAACCGGAUUAAAUUUCAAAAGUACCUUUCUAUAUCUUGAGACUUUUUGGUAAUAUAAAUCAAAAUAAAACAUCCAUAAAACAUAA
rnacentral:lncRNA from 1 species